ensembl:lncRNA
CAGGGGCAGGGACACCUAUGUCAGAGCAUGCAGGUGGGAGUCAGAGGACAACUCGAAGGGGUCCAUUCUCUCCUUCUGCCAUGUCACAGUUCAUCAUCGGGGGACACCAAGGCAAGAACUCAAGGCAAGAAGCUGCAGGCAGAGCCUGAAGCAGAAGCCAUGGAGGAACACUGCUUACUGACUUGGUUUCCAUGGCUCACCUAUGUUAUGUAGGCCAGACUCACCUGCCCACGGAGGGUUGAACCCUCCUCCUUUAAUUAGCAGUCAAGAAAAAUCACCCGAGAUUACCUAUAGUCCAUGCUGACGGAACCACUUCCUCAACUGAAGUUCCCUCUUCCCAGGUCUGUCUAGCUGAUGUCUGAAGCUGACAGAAAGCUUACCACAAAUGAGUGCUGUGUUUUUUUAUUGUACACGCUUCUGCUGCAUCCACUGAGUGUGUGUGUGUGUAUGUGUGUGUAUGUGUGUGUGAGUGUGUGUGAGUGAGUAUGUGUAUGUGGGGGGGGGAGUGUGUGUGUGUGUGUAUGUGUGUGUAUGAGUGCAUGUGAGUGUGAGUGUAUGUGUAUGUGUGUAUGUAUAUCUGUGUAUGUCUGUGCGUGUGUAUGUGUGUGUAUGUGUGUGUAUGUGUGUGUGAGUGUGUAUUUGUGAGUGUGUAUGUGUGUGUGGUGUGUGUGGUAUGUGUAUGUGUGUGCAUGUGCAUGUGUGCAUGUGCGUGUGUGUAUAUGUGUGUGUGUAG